CUCGAAAAAGAUGUUUUAGCCUUGUUAGGGGAUGACCCAUCAGAAAAAUCUGAGGAGAUUCACCUUCAUGAAGCACUAACUGUGCGUUGGAACUAUAACCUCACACGAGGUUUGGAUGCUCAGGUAAAAACAGCAUUAUUGGGGAAAUACCAAACACCAAUCAAUUGCGAAUUACUCAAAGCACCAGAAAUUCUACCUGCAUUAGCCGAUAUACAAAUCAAGAAGGAUAAGUAUCAACGUUUAGGUCAAUCUCAAUUGGGCGUGGGUCUCACCUCACUAGGUGAAGCUUUGACCCUUCUUCUGAAGGAGAGUGGUUCCCGAAAUGAGGAAUUAUUGAAAUUAUUAAUAGAUUCCGGAAAAAUUUUGACAGAUCUUUUCUUUAAUAUGUCCCGAUCUAGAAGAGCCAACAUUGCUCAAAAUCUUAAUAAGUCUAUGAAGGACAUAAUCCAGAAAGAUACACCAGGUCACUUUCUGUUUGGAGAGGACUUAAGUGAACGCAUUAAAUCUGCAAAGACUUUACAAAAGUCAAGUCAGGACCUCAAAGCGGUACCAGAUAAAUUAAUAGUAAAAUCCCCUAAAAUCAGUCAAAAAAGAGGGGGGGGAGGAACAACUAAUUACCCAUCCACCUCCAGGUCUUUAAACUCGAGGAGCUCGUUUCGGUCAACGAGGGACCUGAAACAAAAAGGGCGAGAUCCUCGACCGUAUCAGAGUUACAAAAAUUACCGGAGUCGCAGUCCCUCACGCUCCAACAAACGUUAGAGUUACGAACAACACCCUCUGAGGCUUACUCUGGUUGCCACACUUUUGUCAGGGAAGUUUUUUCUCAGAAGAAAAAUACCCGAACAAUCAAUCCCCAUAAUGUUGCAGUCUUUGUCGACCGGGACUUUAAAGCAGUAUGACUGCACAUACAGCAGCUGGUGGCUUUUCUGUUCAAAGUUCAAUCUAUGUCCUUAUACUGCUACUUCCAAUGAGGUACUACAAUUUUUGCAGGACAUAUUUACCUCAAAAAAUUAUAGUUAUGGGACGUUUAAUUCCCAUCGCUCAGCUUUAUCUUUAAUCAUUCCUGAUAUUGGAACUAAUAUUUACAUAAAACGAUUUUUGAAGGGGAUAGCGCGACUUUGCCCGGUACGUCGCAAAUACGACUUUACUUGGGAUCCCAGUAAGGUCUUAGAUUUUUUGAAUAACUUGUUUCCUAAGACCAACCUUUCAUUGCAAAAACUCACGUACAAAUUGAUCACGCUGUUAGCACUGAUCACUGGACAUCGUGUUCAAACACUAUCCUUGAUUAAAUUAUCAAAUAUUCUUAAGAUGGAUACCAAAAUUCAGAUCCGAAUAACAGAAAACAUUAAAACGUCUUUACUGACAAAAAACGAACCGUGCCUUCAAAUCCCUUUCUUUAACGAACAACCUGGAGUUUGUGCUGCUCUAACCUUAUCAGACUAUAUCCAGAGGACUGCUCAGAUUCGUAAAGAUGUUGACUCUCUGUUCCUGACAAUAAAAUCACCUCAUAAAGCAGCUAAUAAACAAACAUUAAGUAAAUGGAUAAAAACCACAUUAUCUAUGGCUGGAAUUAAUACUAGUAUUUUCUCAGCUCAUUCAACUAGACAUGCGUCAUCAUCUGCAGCUUUACACAAAGGCAUUUCAUUGGAUGUAAUCCAUAAGACUGCAGGUUGGUCCGAAAAGUCACAAACUUUUGUCAAAACCUACAAUCUGCCUCUAGCUGCAGAGACCGAUUUUGCCAAGGCAAUUAUGCAAUGAGUCAUGUGCCUUUUUUCCUUUUCGUUAUUAAAAGAAUAUAUGUUUUGUUUAUCUUUCAUUUUACAAUGUAGACGCUCAAAUAAACUUUUGAUGUUA